CAGUCUGGCCAUACCACCCUGAGUGCGCCCGAUCUCGUCUGAUCUUGGAAGCUAAGCAGGGUCGGGCCUGGUUAGUACUUGGAUGGGAGACAGAAAUAGAACCAACAAUUCUAAAAAUUGUGUGCUACUAC
rfam:Ailuropoda melanoleuca scaffold211_16, whole genome shotgun sequence.